GACGAACGCUGGCGGCGUGCUUAACACAUGCAAGUCGAACGGAAAGGCCCUGCUUGCAGGGUACUCGAGUGGCGAACGGGUGAGUAACACGUGGGUGAUCUGCCCUGCACUUCGGGAUAAGCCUGGGAAACUGGGUCUAAUACCGGAUAGGAGCCAUUUUUAGUGUGAUGGUUGGAAAGUUUUUUCGGUGUAGGAUGAGCUCGCGGCCUAUCAGCUUGUUGGUGGGGUAAUGGCCUACCAAGGCGGCGACGGGUAGCCGGCCUGAGAGGGUGGGCGGCCACAUUGAGACUGAGAUGCGGCCCAGACUCCUACGGGAGGCAGCAGUGGGGAAUAUUGCACAAUGGGCGCCAGCCUGAUGCAGAGACGCCGCGUGGGGGAUGACGGCCUUCGGGUUGUAAAAUCCUUUCGCUAGGGACGAAGCUUUUUGUGACGGUACCUAGAUAAGAAGCACCGGCUAACUACGUG
rnacentral:rRNA from 1 species